GCCAGCGCCAAUAGCACGUUGAAUACACCAGUUCCCGAGGGUUAACUGAAGUUAAGCAAUGUUUCACGUUGUUGGUAUCCAGAUGGGUGACCGUCUGGGCUAUCACGUGCUAGCU
rnacentral:rRNA from 1 species